AUCAUUAGGUAGUGCCAUAGUGUUUGAACUUUUGAGUGAGUCAAACCUAACUUGUAUAGUAUAACUGUAUGCAUAACACUAUUUGAUCUUCUUAGGGGAAAAAUGUAUAUGAUCUGGCAUCUGAGACUUCUUAGAAUGUACUGACAACUAUUUUGCAUCUAUUAGUGGGCAUAUGACUCUGAUUUCGAUGCAGGUUGCAUCUUGUCUAUGAUCUCACUUCCAAAUAUUUUUAGUCUUGCUCCCAGCUGAUUGUUGGAUGUUUAUCUAGCGCAUGAGGCUCUUUUUAUCAAUUGGA
rnacentral:lncRNA from 1 species